rnacentral:rRNA from 1 species
AGUGAAUAGAUACCCCGGUAGUCCACGCUGUAAACGAUGGAUACUCGGUAUCAGGGGAUUCGACCCCCUUGGUGCCUAAAGCUAAACGCAUUAAGUAUCCCGCCUGGGUAGUACGGCCGCAAGGCUAAAACUCAAAGGAAUAGACGGGGACCUACACAAGCGGUGGAGCAUGUGGUUUAAUUCGAUAAUAAGCGAGAAACCUUACCAGGACUUGACAUCUCGGGAAUCCUCCAGAAAUGGGGGAGUGCCGCAAGGAACCCGAUGACAGGUGUUGCAUGGUUGUCGUCAGCUCGUGCCUUGAGGUGUACUGUUAAGUCAGGAAACGAGCGCAACCCACAUCGUAUGUUACUUAUUUCAUGCGAGACUGCCGACUCCAAGUCGGAGGAAGGUGUGGAUGACGUCAAAUCAGCAUGGCCCUUAUGUCCUGGGCUACACACGUGCUACAAUGGCCGGCACAAAGCGCAGCGAAACCGAAAGGUGGAGCCAGUCGCAUCAAAACCGGUCUCAGUUCGGAUUGAGGGCUGCAACUCG